rnacentral:rRNA from 1 species
AGUGAACGCUGGCGGUAGGCCUAACACAUGCAAGUCGAACGGCAGCACAGGAGAGCUUGCUCUCUGGGUGGCGAGUGGCGGACGGGUGAGGAAUACAUCGGAAUCUACUUUUUCGUGGGGGAUAACGUAGGGAAACUUACGCUAAUACCGCAUACGACCUACGGGUGAAAGCAGGGGAUCUUCGGACCUUGCGCGAUUGAAUGAGCCGAUGUCGGAUUAGCUAGUUGGCGGGGUAAAGGCCCACCAAGGCGACGAUCCGUAGCUGGUCUGAGAGGAUGAUCAGCCACACUGGAACUGAGAAACGGUCCAGACUCCAACGGGAGUCAGCAGUGGGGAAUAUUGGACAAUGGGCGCAAGCCUGAUCCAGCCAUACCGCGUGGGUGAAGAAGGCCUUCGGGUUGUAAAGCUCUUUUGUUGGGAAAGAAAUCCAGCUGGUUAAUACCCGGUUGGGAUGACGGUACCCAAAGAAUAAGCACCGGCUAACUUCGUGCCAGCCGCCGCCGUAA